GAUGAACGCUGGCGGCGUGCUUAACACAUGCAAGUCGAACGGAAAGGCUCCUGCUUGCAGGGGUACUCGAGUGGCGAACGGGUGAGUAACACGUGGGUGAUCUGCCCUGCACUUCGGGAUAAGCCUGGGAAACUGGGUCUAAUACCGGAUAGGACCACAUUUUGGAUGGUGUGGUGGAAAGUUUUUCGGUGUGGGAUGAGCUCGCGGCCUAUCAGCUUGUUGGUGGGGUAAUGGCCUACCAAGGCGUCGACGGGUAGCCGGCCUGAGAGGGUGUACGGCCACAUUGGGACUGAGAUACGGCCCAGACUCCUACGGGAGGCAGCAGUGGGGAAUAUUGCACAAUGGGGGCAAGCCUGAUGCAGCGACGCCGCGUGGGGGAUGACGGCCUUCGGGUUGUAAACUCCUUUCGCUAGGGACGAAGCGCAAGUGACGGUACCUGGAGAAGAAGCACCGGCUAACUACGUG
rnacentral:rRNA from 1 species